rnacentral:rRNA from 1 species
CCUACGGGUGGCAGCAGUGGGGAAUAUUGCAUAAUGGGGGAAACCCUGAUGCAGCGACGCCGCGUGAGUGAUGAAGUAUUUCGGUUUGUAAAGUCCUAUCAGCAGAGAAGAAAAUGACGGUACCUGAUUAAUAAGCACCGGCUAACUACGUGCCAGCAGCCGCGGUAAUACGGAGGGGGCAAGCGUUACCCGGAUUUACUGGGCGUAAAGGGAGCGUAGACGGCAGCACAAGUCUGAAGUGAAAUGCUGUGGCUUAACCCCGGAACUGCUUUGGAAACUGUGCAGCUAGAGUGCGGGAGAGGUAAGUGGAAUUCCUGGUGUAGGGGUAAAAUGCGUAGAGAUUAAGAGGAACACUAGUGGCGAAGGCGGCUUGCUGGAACAUAACUGACGCUGAGGCGCGAAAGCGUGGGGAGCAAACAGGAUUAGAUACCCCUGUAGUC